rnacentral:rRNA from 1 species
UACAGAGGGGGGCAAGCGUUGUCCGGAUUUACUGGGCGUAAAGCGCGUGUAGGCGGCUUCGUAAGUCCGUUGUGAAAGUCCAGGGCUCAACCCUGGAAUGCCGAUGGAUACUGCGGAGCUAGAGUCCGGAAGAGGCGAGUGGAAUUCCUGGUGUAGCGGUGAAAUGCGCAGAUAUCAGGAGGAACACCGGUGGCGAAGGCGCCACUCUGGGCCGGAACUGACGCUGAGGAGCGAAAGCGUGGGUAGCAAACAGG